rnacentral:rRNA from 1 species
CGCGUCUUAAACAUGCAAGUCGAACGGUGAUUUUAGAGCUUGCUUUGAAAUCAUAGUGGCGCACGGGUGAGUAACACGUGGGUAAUCUGCCUUCGAGAUGGGGACAACCAGCCGAAAGGUUGGCUAAUACCGAAUAAUGCAUCAUUUUGAAAUGGGUGAUGUUAAAGGAGCAAUCCGCUUGAAGAUGAGCCUGCGGCCUAUUAGCUAGUUGGCGGUGUAAUGGACCACCAAGGCGACGAUAGGUAUCCGGCCUGAGAGGGUGAACGGACACAUUGGGACUGAGACACGGACCAGACUCCUACGGGAGGCAGCAGUUAAGAAUCUUGGACAAUGGACGAAAGUCUGAUCCAGCGACGCCGCGUGAACGAUGAAGGUCUUCGGAUUGUAAAGUUCAGUAAGCAGGGACGAACACAAUGACGGUACCUGCCUAAAGCCUCAGCUAAAUACGUGCCAGCCGCCGCCGUAAUAC